UACGUAGGGUGCGAGCGUUGUCCGGAAUUAUUGGGCGUAAAGGGCUCGUAGGCGGUCUGUUGCGUCAGGAGUGAAAACUCGGGGCUUAACCCCGAGCCUGCUUCUGAUACGGGCAGACUAGAGGUAUGCAGGGGAGAACGGAAUUCCUGGUGUAGCGGUGAAAUGCGCAGAUAUCAGGAGGAACACCGGUGGCGAAGGCGGAUCUCUGGGCCUUGCCUGACGCUGAGGCGCGAAAGCUAGGGGAGCGAACAGG
rnacentral:rRNA from 1 species